rnacentral:rRNA from 1 species
AAUUCGAUGCAACGCGAAGAACCUUACCUGGUCUUGACAUCCCGGAGACCCUUAGGAAACUAGGGGGUGCUUCCAUCUGGAAGAAUCUGGAGACAGGUGCUGCAUGGCUGUCGUCAGCUCGUGUCGUGAGAUGUUGGGUUAAGUCCCGCAACGAGCGCAACCCUUGCCUUUAGUUGCCAGCAGUUCGGCUGGGCACUCUAAAGGGACUGCCGGUGUUAAACCGGAGGAAGGUGGGGAUGACGUCAAGUCCUCAUGGCCUUUAUGACCAGGGCUACACACGUACUACAAUGGCCGAUACAAAGGGCAGCGACACUGCGAGGUGAAGCCAAUCCCGUAAAAUCGGUCUCAGUCCGGAUUGGAGUCUGCAACUCGACUCCAUGAAGUUGGAAUCGCUAGUAAUCGUGAAUCAGAAUGUCACGGUGAAUACGUUCCCGGGCCUU